GAAAAUUAUGUACUUUUGUUUAAUUUUUCAGUAUAUAAACCACGAUACUAAUGGUGAUAAUCAUCAGUUGAAUUUUAUUGAAAAUGCACUUCACAUUGUUUGCACUUUUAGCUCUUUUGAGCGUCCUUUUGAUGACAGGAGUUGCUGAUGCACAAAUCUGUCGAAAUUCGGGUCAGAGUUGUCAAAGAAACAGGCAAUGUUGCAGCGAAGUCUGCCAAUCAAGAUCAAAAACUUGCAAGUAAUUGACGCCAGGUGAUGAAAGUAUUCGUGGAUUGUACUUAUAUGAAGACUAUUGCAUAUUUCGAAUGAUAAAUAAACCUGGAUGACUAUCUUUUUUUUUCCAAAAUACUAAAAUGUUACUUGAUUUUUCUUGAUUUCUUUUUUAAAUUUUAAUCUACUCUUAUAUAUGUAUGUACUUAACUAUCUACCCUAAUAAAAAUGUUUAAGGCGUUAUAAAAAA